GAUGAACGCUGGCGGUGUGCCUAAUACAUGCAAGUCGUACGCAUUCUCGUUUCUGAUUGACGGUGCUUGCACCUAAUUGACGAGACAUUGGAAUGAGUGGCGGACGGGUGAGUAACACGUGGGUAACCUGCCCAGAAGUGGGGGAUAACAUUUGGAAACAGAUGCUAAUACCGCAUAAAAGUCAAAACCACAUGGUUUUGAUUUAAAAGAUGGCCUUUGUGCUAUCACUUCUGGAUGGACAUGCGGCGUAUUAGCUAGUUGGUAAGGUAACGGCGUACCAAGGCAAUGAUAAUGAGCCGAACUGAGAGGGUGAUCGGCCACAAUGGGACUGAGACACGGCCCAUACUCCUACGGGAGGCAGCAGUAGGGAAUCUUCCACAAUGGGCGCAAGCCUGAUGGAGCAACACCGCGUGAGGGAAGAAGGGUUUCGGCUCGUAAAACUCUGUUGUUAAAGAAGAACGUAUCUAAGAGUAACUGCUUAGGUAGUGACGGUAUUUAACCAGAAAGCCACGGCUAACUACGUGCCAGCCGCCGCGGUAA
rnacentral:rRNA from 1 species